CCAACUCCUCCUGAUAGAAACACAAUAAAUGAACCAUAUUAUGCUCUCCAUGAAAAUGGAGGCUAUGUGUGUUCACUAAACGUGUCUUGUUUAUACUCUUCUUGUUUGUUUAAUGGAUGGAUAAAUUCGCAAACACCAAUCAUGGGCCACAUCUUUAUUAUUUUUGUGUGAUUUCUCAGCAAGUACUAACGUAGAAGAAGUUCUACAGCAUGAACAAAGCGCAGUGGCCUCAACUUCAGGCCAGACAGAAAAGGACUCUUCUUCCUCUUCAGAAUGCUUCAGCACCUCCUCCCAAGAAAAGCUCACUGGUGCUGGAAUCUUAAAAUCAAGCAAAUGUGAUCCACCACCUGGCCACUCUUUGGAAGACAAUACUGCGGUCCCUGAGGCAAAAGAAAUCUUAAAGAAGCAAAAGGAUACUCCACAGCCUGGUGAGAGUACCUCACAGGAAGAACACAGUGCCGUUGUCUCAAGUGACCUCCCCUGUGCCUCUGACAAUAAGAAUACGGGUAAGUCGAGAUGUCUGAACUGGAGGUGGGUAGUGGCAAAGGGAGAUAUAAGCAUGGCUGAGGGUCCAGCUGAGCAUUUCUAUUUACAGACUCAUAGAUGAGAGUUAAAAAGUGAUCCAAGCCAUGUCCAGAUGAGAGAGAUAACACAAGGUCUUUUUUCUCUCCAGGAGAUGUUCAUUGCAUCUAUAUAAAACAAAGCCUGGAGAUUCAAGGGGAAUCUCAGAGAGGACAAAUAUCCAUAAGUGCAGGGCCAUGUUUGCAAAGGUGGAGUCUAAAGAAAUGUCAGAUCUCUCUGAGAAAUGGAAAUAUAAACUCAGUCUGAACCUGAGAAGAUGAAUUCUGUUGGUCAUAAUGUGGGCAAAUCUCUGACAGCUGGUGUGAAAUGGGCCAGCAAAGAACAGAUAGGGCAUCCAAGAAGGAACCAGUAGAUUUUGCUUUUUCGCUAAGAGAGGACUGAACUCCUUAGCAUAUGUCCUUUCAUGGGGGAAGAAGGGGCAGAGAUUUGAAAGAGACCCUUCGAUUCUUCUCCAACAACCUCCUAACCCUCAUGAGCACACAGGAAUAUUUAUUCCAUCACACACUCUACUAGACUCAGCACAAAGUCCUCUCACAGUUACCCCUAUUGACACUUGUCUCUUCAUUUCCCAUUCUCUGGUCCCAUUUCUUUCUUUUUUCUUUUCUUUUUUUUUUGUUAAGGAUCUUAAUCAUUUAUUCACAAGAAACACAUAUAGAGAGAGGCAGAGACAUAGGCAGAGGGAGGAGCAGGCUCCCUCAGGGUGCCCAACGUGGGACUCAAUCCCGGGAAGCCAGGCUCAUGCCCCGAGCCAAAGGCAGGUGCUCAACCACUGAGCCACCCAGGCAUCCCUCUGCUCCCAUUUCCUUAUACUCUCCGACAGACUCAUAAAUUCAGAUCCUCAUAUCCUGAACCUUCAGAACUCGUUUUGCAGCAUAUGUAUUCCUCAAGUUUGCUUUCUCUAAUGUCAUUCCUUAGAUACUAUCAUCUCAAACUCACACAAAUAAUCUCACUCUUGUAGAACUUCAUAUUUCACAUUAACAGUGAACAAAGCCACACAAUCAUAUAAGAUCGUGUAAAACGCCUCUGUCCCAACUCGCUUCGGCCCCUCAUGUAAUUCCACAAUCUAGGACCUCGUGUGAGGUCUUGCCUCUAUCCUUGCCUCUAUCCUAGCACUUUCACAAUCUCAACAGAUCUCACAAAAUUACACACGUCCAUAUCCCUCUCAUAAAUCAAAUAGACAGUAUGUCACAACUUGAACCUCAGUAGUACAUGACACCCAGAUCACUCAUACCACCUUUACAUAUACGGGAUUAUGCAGUACCAUCCGCUAAUAUAUGAAGCUCAUGCUACCUUUACGUAGAAUGGCCAUGGCACCCGUACGCCUCCUACAUAAAAUUGUUGAAGAAACAUGACAGACACGUACACAAUCAGACAGUACUCACCGAACACGGUACACAUACCGUGUGUACCUUAAAUAAUCCACCCCCCACUGACUUGUCUCAUGCCUACAACAUGACCUACCAGAUACUCUUCAGUGACCUAAGAGACAAAGUAGGUGCAUUUUGUGAAGUUAAAUUUGGGUACAAGCUUCAAAAAACUUUUUAAACAUAGGAAGAGACUUAAUAUGUUUGAGUUAUUUUAUCAGGAACAGAAAUUUACCUAUUUACUGAGCGUUGAGUUUGGAAAUGUAGAUUAAGAGGAAGAAAAACUAACUGGCGAUUUUCGGGAUGUGUUGAAGUUCAUGAUAGAGGUAAAACCCGAUCCCAAAAAUAUACAUAUUUUACUAGGAAAACAAUCAACAACUUAGAAUUUAGCUGUUUAGUGGGAAAGUUUAGUGG
rnacentral:lncRNA from 1 species